rnacentral:rRNA from 1 species
UACGUAGGGUGCGAGCGUUGUCCGGAAUUAUUGGGCGUAAAGGGCUCGUAGGCGGUCUGUCACGUCGGGAGUGAAAAACUCAGGGCUUAACCCUGAGCCUGCUUCCGAUACGGGCAGACUAGAGGUAUGCAGGGGAGAACGGAAUUCCUGGUGUAGCGGUGAAAUGCGCAGAUAUCAGGAAGAACACCAAUGGCGAAAGCAGCUCUCUGGGACGGUACUGACGCUGAGACGCGAAAGCGUGGGGAGCGAACAGG